UUUUUCUUUUUUUUUAAAAAAAAUGCCUAGCCAAUUGUUCCAGCAUGUGUUAAAAAGAUUAUUCUUUCUCCAUUUACCAUUGCACCUUUGCCAAAAUUCAGUUAACCAAAUAUGUCUGAGUUGAUUUCUCAAGUUACUAUGAUGUUCCAUUGAUCUAUAUGUCUAAUUUUACACCAAUACUAGGAUGUCUUGCUUAUGAUAGCUUCAUAAUAAGCCUUCAAAUCAGGUAACAUACAUCCCUUCACUUUGUUCUUUUAUGAAGUAAUUUUGGCUACUUUAUACCUUUUCCAUUUCUAUAUACAUUUUAGAAUUAUUUUGCAAAAUUGACUCAUCAAUUUUAGCAGUUUUGCAGAUUUCAUAGGACUUUCUAAUCCUAUUAAUUUAGGAUGUCUAUUUAAUGGCAGACAACGAUUAUGUUGUCUGCCAUUAAAGGCAGACUUACCCCAGGCAUGGUGGCUCACACCUUUAAUCCCACGCCCUUUGUAAAAUGAAUUGUCCUACUCUGGCUAGCAGGAACACAAACUACUCGCUUCCUUGUGUGAACUCCAAUGAUUGCUCCCUCUGCUCCUUUCAGGUGGUUCUUUCUCCAACCUUGGUAAUUUUCCCAUGCAUGCCGAAGUACUGGGCUCAUGUCUCAAGGGGGACCCUCCUGAGAUCUGCAAGCCUUUUUUUCUGUGCAGCUCUCUCCUCUUUUGUACUCUGCCUUAUGAACUUCAUCUACUUUGGCCUCUUCUGGACUCCCACCUCUGUUCCCUCAACUCAGAGAAAAAUCUCUGGUUUCUCUCUUAGUUCUCUUUCCUUAGGCUGCAAUCUGGAAUCUCUCUCCAGAUAUCAGCUAGGGGAAUCAUAAAACUCAACUCAUUUGUGUUCCUUCUUUCAGGAUUGUUGCCCUUCACUGCUUCAUGACUAGUGUCUGAAAACUAUUGUUUUAUUACAUAUAAUAUUGUCAGGUCUUUUAGUUGUUUCAAAUGAAAAGGUAAAUCUUGUUUCUAUUCUUUUAGUUAAGCUGAAAGUAAAUAUCAACCACUUUGGGAGGCAAGGGUUUGUAUUUCAGUGUUAUAUGAUUAAUUUUAAUGGAAGUAAAGAUGCUUUAAACUUUCAGCUCUUGAGAGAUCUGAGUUCAAAUUCCAGUAUUGUUACCUUGGGUAAAUUACCACACUUUUUGAUUCCCAGUUCCCUAGCAGAUAAAACAGAACUAAUAAUACCUACCUGAUAAGGUGUGGGGAUUGAGUGAGAUAUAAACAAUUUACCACAUAUCAGAGGCACACCUCUUAAAUUUUAGUUUCCUUCUCUUUCCUCUAAAAAAGAGUAUCGGAAGCUAUUUGUUAGAGCCAUACCUAUAUUGGUAAGAGUAAUUCCCACCCUUUUCCUGUCUCAAAUAUCUAAGACCCCAUCUGUUACAGAAAAACAACAACAACAACAAAUUUUUUUUUACCAUAAUAUGCUAUUGAAAAGCCAGACAUAAAAUGUAAUUCUGGGCAAACUGCCUGUGAUUUUUUACUCUGUGAAACUAAGUGCGAAUGGGGAGCCUUGUAUCCUGCCCUGUCUACUUCUGGUUUGGAUUUGGAAAUUUUUAAAGUGGGGAACAAUCCAGAAUUCCAGCUCCGUCAGGAAAGAAAACAAACAAAUGAAACAGAUGACAAAUCAUUUGUCUAGGACCUGAAGCCAAACUGGCUUCAAUAGCUGCUGGGAUGGUAGUAGGAGCCAAUUUCCUGCAGUAUUUACAAAAUCAUUUGUAAGAAUAAUAUUUUCCAGACUUUUAUAGGGACAAUUAAGUGUGAAUUUUUGGUCUGCAGACUCCAUAAAGUUAGCAGGCAUCCAACAAGCAGCUGCUGAGAACACCACCUCCCAUCCUAACUCCACUCCCUAUAUAAAGGCCUGACAUACACUCAGAUAGAGGAUAAGCUGUAGUCUUUGCUCUUCAAAUAUAUACCACCACCUAAAAAGAGCAACAGAUGAAUACACAGCUAAUCAAAAUCUAAUGAAAUGUGCUUUAUUCGGGGUAUGAGUGAACUGCUGCACUAAGACAGAGAUAAAAGAUGAGAAAAGGGUUAUCUGGAUAAAGAUGGAGGAUCAUAGUUACAGCUUUUCACCGACUACAUUGGGCCUGUCUAGUAAAUUUGUCCAUAUUGAAUAGGCUUUGGCUGCUCUAGCUGGAGAAGCCCUUUCAGUGGGAGUUAAAGUAGCAAAUGGCAUGGUAUUAGCAACUGAGAAGAGCAGAAUUCUAUUCUGUAUGAUGAGCAAAGUGUACACAGAGUGGAACUAAUUAUCGAACAUACAGGUUUGGUGUAUAGUGGCAAUGGGUGCAGAUUACAGAGUGCUUGUGCACAGAGUUCAAAAGCUAGCUCAGCAAUACUAUCCUGUUUACCAAGAACCCAUUCCCACAGCUCAGCUGGUAGAGAAAUUAGCUUCUGAGAUCCACAAAUACACCCAGUCUGGUGGUAUUUGUCCAUCUGGAGUCUUUCUACUUAUUUGUGGUUGUGGGGGACAGACAUAUUUACUCAGGCACAUCCAUCUGGAGCUUUCUUUGAAUGCCACAGCGACGGGAAAGAACUGUGUGAAUGGGAAAACUUUCUUUGAGAGAAGAUACAAAGAAGAUCUGAAACUUAAAAUACCAUUCAUAUAGCCAUCUUAAUCCUAAAGGGAAGUGUUAAAAGGCAAAUGACAGAAGAUAACAUAGAAGUUGGAAUCUGCAAUGAAGCUGUAUUUAGGAAGUUUAUUUCAUCCAGCUGAAGUUAAGGAUUAGUUGGCUGCCACAGCAUAAUAAUGAAGUGACUGAAAAAUCCAGAAUUUCAGAUAUUCUAUCUACUUAAACACGUUUAAAGGAUGUUUUUGUUUUUUUUUUUUUUUGGCAGAAUCUUUUUAGAUUUAUUUCUAUGUAGUUAAUAAACUGAUGUUUUAAAAAUGACACUUAUUACGCCAGGCACAGUGGCUUAUGCCUAUAAUUGGAGCACUUUGGGAGGCUUUGGAUGGAGGACUGCUUGAUCCCAACAGUUCAAGACCAGCCUAGGCAACACAGUGAGCCUCCUGUCUCUACAAAAAACAAAAACAAAAAUUAGUCAGACAUGGUGGCAUGUGCCUGUAGUCCCAGCUACUAGGGAAGCUUAGGUGGAAGGAUUACUUAAGCCUGGGACGUCAAGGUUGCAGUGAGCCAUGAUCAUGCCACUGCACUCCAACCUGGGUGACAGAGACCCUGUCUCACUUAUACACUGCUGGUGGGAAUGUAAAUUAGUGCAACCUCUAUAGACAACAGUAUGGAGGUGUCUUAAAGAACUAAAAGGAGAUCUACCAAAAAAGACACUCAUACGCAUAUUUUUAUCGUAACACAGUUCACAAUUGCAAAGAUAUGGAAUCAACCAAAGUGCCCACUGACCAAUAAGUGGAUAAAGAAAAUGUGGUAUAUAUGCACCAUGGAAUACUACUCAGCCAUAAAAAAGAAAAGAUGAAAUAAUGUCUUUUGCAGCAUCUUGAAUGGAGCUGGAGGCCAUUAUUCUAAGUAAAGUAACUCAGGAAUGGAUAACCAAAUACUGCAUGUUCUCAAUUGUAAGUGAAAGCUAAGCUGUAGAUACACAAGGGUAUACAGAGUGAUAUAAUGGACCAUGGAGACUCAGAAGGGGGAGGAAUAAAAACUAUAUAUUGGGUACAGUGCACACUAUUCUGGUGACAGGUGCACUCAAAUCUCAGACUUCACCACUAUACAAUUCAUCCAUGCAACCAAAACCCACCUGUACCCCAAAAGCUACUGAAAUAAAAAUAAGUAAAUUCAUUCCUUAAUUAAACAACACAUAAAACAUAAUCAACUAAGAAGUUUUAAAGAUGAGCAAAACCUUCAAAGAUGAGAUUGACAGUAUUUUAGAAUACUGAAUACAGAAAAUAGCGGAGUGGAGAAAAAGAGAAUUCUAAAUCAAGAGAGAGAAGGAUAUAAUGGGAAAUGAAACUCAGGUCUGAUCUAUACAGAAUUGGAAUAUGUCUAUUAGAAAUGUUUUCAGCUGAAAGUAACAGAAUUCUUGGCUAAUAAAGCCAUAAAGGCUGUGAUGAUUAAUUUUAGGUGUCAACUUGACUGGAUUAAGGAAUAUCUAGAGAACUGGUAAGGCAUUGUUUUGGGGUGUGUCUGUGAAGGUGUUUUCAGAGGCGACUGGCAUGUGAGUUAGAGUGGACUAGGCAGAGAAGAUCUGCCGUCAAUAUGGGCAGGCACCUCCAAUCCACUGGAGGCCUGGGUAGGAUAAAAACAGAAGAAAGGAAAAUUGGCUUCUCUCCCCCCUGCAGCAGGGAUACACUCUUCUCCAACUGCCCUUGGACAUUAGGACCCCAGACUCUCUAACCUUGGGACUCCAGGACUUAAACUAUCACUCCCCCACCCCACGCCCAGGUUCUCAGGCUUGAGAAUUCAGCCUCGGACUGAGAAUUACACCAUCAAUUACACCAUCAGUUUCCCUGGUUCCAAGGCUUUUGGAAUUAUACUGAGCCAGACCACCAGCAUCCCAAGGUCUCCAGGUUACGAAUGGCCUGUGGUGGGAUUUCUCAGCCUCCGCAAUCACAUGAGCCAACUCCCUUAACCGCCUUUCAUAUCUCUCUGUGUGUCUCUCUCCGUCCCUCUCUCAUCUCUCUCUGUGUAUCUCUUGAUCCCUAUUGUUCUGCCUCUCUGGGAAACCCUGACUGAUACAGAACUUUAAGAAACAGACGUUUAUUUUCUGAAAAUGCUCAAAUGCGUAUGGUUAUUGGCACCCAUUCAGUGGCUCACGGAAGCAGGUUCUUUCCAUUUUUCUGACCUGGCAUCUUUAACAUGCUAGUUUUUCAUCUUUCUACUUUUCACCUCAUGCCUGCAAGAUUGCUGCCACAGAUUUAGACCCUAUUGACUAAUACUAACACCUUGAACAAGAGAAAAAGAGCUAAAAAGAACUUUCCUUUAAGCAGAGAGGAAAGAUUUUCCCAAGUGUUUCCCACAUUUUCCAUUACACUUUAUUGGUCAAAACAAGGUAACGUGAACACCCCUGAGUAAAGGCUGGUUGGAAAAGUAUCUGGACAAGAAGAAAGGAAUGACAUGAAAGGCCUAGAACAAUUAUGAUUCAUCCCUAGGGCUAGGCAUGUAACUAUCUUAAACAACAUCAGUGUUCCUUCAGCAAGGAAAAACUGUCACUAGUUGAGCAAUUAACAAUGACUGCAAUCCCAUUUUUGAAUUUUAAUCCAAGUUAUAGGAAGAGUUCUAGUGAGGAAAAAAAGAAAAAGGAAAAAAAAAAAAAAA
ensembl:lncRNA